rnacentral:tRNA from 1 species
GCGCCAGGCGGGACCACUCUGCCCGGAAAGCAGAAGAUGCGGGUUCGAGUCCCGCCUGGCGCA